UACGGGGGGGGCAAGCGUUGUUCGGAAUUACUGGGCGUAAAGGGCUCGUAGGUGGCCAACUAAGUCAGACGUGAAAUCCCUCGGCUUAACCGGGGAACUGCGUCUGAUACUGGAUGGCUUGAGUUUGGGAGAGGGAUGCGGAAUUCCAGGUGUAGCGGUGAAAUGCGCAGAUAUCAGGAAGAACACCCGUGGCGAAGGCGGCUCGCUGGGACGGUACUGACGCUGAGACGCGAAAGCGUGGGGAGCGAACGGG
rnacentral:rRNA from 1 species